rnacentral:lncRNA from 1 species
AGUACACAUCCGCCGCCCUGCAUAGAGGGUGGAGCCUAAGGACGCAUGUGCGAGAAGCUCAACAGUUUCUCUCGUUAAUCUGCUUUUGCCCUCUUUUUUCCUGAGUGGUCUGAGGAACUCAUUCAUUCACUUCUACGAGAUGAGACUGCCGUGGCCCCUAACCCGCAUUUUAUUGUGACCAUGGUUAUUCCGAAACCUUGCAGGGGAUCAAAUUACUUGGUGGUGCUCAGAGAAUUCUUACUAAACCUUGAAGUCAUUCUAACCGAGAGGGCCAACAACAAUGUCAGAAGUUACUGCUGCUGAGCCUUGCCUUCCAAAAGUUUCUUUUUUCUGCAAAACCCACAUGUACACGUUCCACUUCAGUGGUCGACAAAUGCUGAUUGAGGUGAAGAAACCUGUACCCGCACAACAAGUCUUCCUUUGCUGCAGCCUCUCAAACAAUCCUGGCCCCCCAACUUUAAUGGCAUUCAAACAGUAUGUGCUACGCUGCUUAAAAUGGAAUGGAAAUCAUAUAUUCUUGCCAUUACUAGAAGAGAUUAGUGUUGAAGAUGAAAGGACUGUCUCAGAAGAGCAAGUAUGACAUCUGGUCGAAGGGCUCUCUCCACCGUGAACUGCUCCUUGCAGAGUCUCCGGCUCCAUCAAAAUUACAGGAAUGAUGUCCGUCCGUCUGCCAUCCUGGGAGUUCAGAAGAGAAACUGCAACUUCAGGGUUUGGCACAUGGUGAAUACCUGCUUCCAAGGCUUAUUUUGAAGCCUGACAUUCCUAGUCUGAAAGCAUUUCCUUGAGGGUAGCCAGCUGUGCCUGCUCCCUUUUUUUAAGAGAUCACACUGCAGCAGUCGAACGCAUCAUGGAACACUCUCCUGCCCCAUUUCCUUUCUCUCCCAGCCCAUGGAGAUGCUACAGAAAUCUCUUUUUCUU